CCGCCACUAGCUCAUCCGGGCAGAGCAUUAUUUUUCUAAGCUGAUGGUGUGAGGUUCAAGUCCUCUCUUGCGGGCUA
rnacentral:tRNA from 1 species